ACAUGCCUAGAGGUUUUAAUGGGGGCGAACACAUUCGCAACACCUCUCACAUCACACGUGUGCAGCUCAGUUUGUGUUGCCACAGUCUAUAGUUUCAAACAACAAUCAUCCAGGACGUCAAAGUGUCUGAUUUAGGCAAGUAUCGGAUUCCUGAAACGGCCGGAACAGACGCGGACGGCUCUCCUGACACCAAACAUAAACCUUUUAAUUACAGCUAACAUGGCUGAUGAGUUUGAGGCCUGAUUACUUGGCCUUCAUUAGUCAGAUUGUGAGCCAUAGUGACUCCCACAGGAGCUGUUUGGCAAAUCUAAACACCGCCAGCUUCUCUGUUAAGCAAUUACAUUGACCCUAAAAGACGUCCAAACAGGUGCGCGCGCCCACACGCUGCGCACACAGACCGACGUGCGUGCACGUGGGCAUUUUAUCAACCCGAAUCGGCUGAAUGUUGGGAUUUCAGUCUGUUCCUUAAUUUGCAGAAAGAGUCUGACUAAAAAGGAAACAGUGAUAAAAAUGUGCCGAGCUCCACUCGGUGCAGCCGCGCUUCGUCAUGAUGACUCCAUGUUAGCCGGGCCACCUCGACGACGCGGCGGGUUUGUUUCGCAUCAUGGCGGCCUGGCGGUUGUCACUGCGCCGGGGGAGGGAGCGUCCCGCCUCGGGCCACAGGCGGCGAUCAGCCCCGUCGGGAACAAACUGCGUCUGCAUCGUGCGGUCAGGAUCUGGCCGUUGUUCGGCUGGAAUGAAAGUGCACCGAUGACGGUCUCCAGCAGAGGCCAGAGAUGGGACUAAUGUGAGCGUUCACAAACCCAGAACACUGAUUCAGGCCAAAAUGUGGGAAAAAAUCUCAGAUAUCUACAACGCAGUUUAAAAGGCUGUAAAAAGUAUUUGCCCCUUUCACAAAAUUUUCUAUUUUUUUUUCUCUCAUUUUCAUAUAGCAGAUUAACAAACAUUUGUAUAUAACACAGAGACAGAGUAGGUAGUUAAAAAUUUGUUUAGAUGGUUUCAUUUAAUGAGAAAAAGUAGUCCAAACCAACGUAUGGAAAAAAAAAAAUAAAAUAAAAAAAUUGCUCCCUAACCCUAAUAACUAGCUGUGCCGCCGCAGGAAGCAACAUUAGCCACCAGACGUUUGUGAUUAUUUGUUCCCACUGCAGAAAUUAAAAUAAACAUAGGUCCACCACAGUUUGCUACUGUUGAUGCGAGGAGCGGCCAUAUUGAAACGCAGAGUCGACCUUCCAAGUCGUAACUGGGGGUAGUCGGAGUUGCAUCCACUUUCUCAGUUCCAACUACAACUGGGACGCAGCACGACGUUCCUUCAAAGUAAACUCGUUCGCUUAUGCUAGCAGUAGCCUGUUAGCUGUUAAGUAGUUAGCACAAGUUAGCAGGAGCUAGCUAUGUUCAACAGUAAAACAGAGACUUGGUUAUAAAGUAAAUACAGACAGGAUAGGGUUCACUCAGUGUAAUUGGUUCUAUUUUGGUGCGACCCAAAUGUACACACACCUGAAGUAGGUGAAUGAGAGAAAAACAUUUUUUUUAAGACGAGCACAAACUUUACAGAAAUGACACGGAGGACAGGACAUCAAAUCAGGGUGUUUUUACACCCUUUUUAUCACAGAAUGAAACUUCACACAAAAAUCAUUCAUUUUAUCCAAAUAUUACCAUUUGAAAUACUGGAUCAUAGACUCCUCUUUUCACCCCACUGUUUGGUACGUUCAGUGUCAGACCUUCUCCUUGUGAGGUCAUCCACACAAUCGACUCGCUGCUGUGGAUGUCACAAGCAUUCUACGCUGUUUCUCCAUAUUUUGGGAUCCAUUUUGUUUCCCUUAAACAAGACGUCGACUUUAGGUUGUCCUCACUUGCUUCAUUGGUGCAUCACUUUCCACUGCAUAUGGUUUCUGCUAAUAUGCUUUUCUCCCUGCGUGGAUAAGACGGUACGGAUAAUGGAUGGAUUGUACUCUUUGGACCGCAUAUUCAAAAAGUAAUACGAAUUAUUUAGUAAAUAGUCACCCUUUCACAUUUGUCUUUGCUUUCUGUUUUCAAAGCCACAACAGUGAAAGAAGCAAUUUUUGUAUUUUCUGUCCCUGCAUGU